rnacentral:lncRNA from 1 species
GCGUCAGAAUUUGCACGGACUUUUGUCUGCAGCAUGCAUUUCUCGAUUUCUUGCAUGCAAUUUUAUCUUCAAAAACCACGGACAUGUAGCCGCCUCGUAUAUUGCGAGUUAUGUCUUAUACGAGUAUUGGUGGGUUAAAAUCUGGAUAGGGACGAGUGGACCUCUCUGUAUGCUCAUCCGAUCGGACGCGUGGAUUUUACCUCGUAACUUUACCAAAUGCAGAAAUUACAUCCC